GGCUGGUCCGAGUGCAGUGGUGUUUACAACUAAUUGAUCACCACCAGUUACAGAUUCCUUUGUUCCUUCACUCCCACUUCUUCACUUGACUAAUCUAAA
ensembl:misc_RNA Y_RNA Y RNA